rnacentral:rRNA from 1 species
CUACCUAUAAGACUGGGAUAACUUCGGGAAACCGGAGCUAAUACCGGAUAAUAUUUCGAACCGCAUGGUUCGAUAGUGAAAGAUGGUUUUGCUAUCACUUAUAGAUGGACCCGCGCCGUAUUAGCUAGUUGGUAAGGUAACGGCUUACCAAGGCGACGAUACGUAGCCGACCUGAGAGGGUGAUCGGCCACACUGGAACUGAGACACGGUCCAGACUCCUACGGGAGGCAGCAGUAGGGAAUCUUCCGCAAUGGGCGAAAGCCUGACGGAGCAACGCCGCGUGAGUGAUGAAGGUCUUCGGAUCGUAAAACUCUGUUAUUAGGGAAGAACAUACGUGUAAGUAACUAUGCACGUCUUGACGGUACCUAAUCAGAAAGCCACGGCUAACUACGUGCCAGCAGCCGCGGUAAUACGUAGGUGGCAAGCGUUAUCCGGAAUUAUUGGGCGUAAAGCGCGCGUAGGCGGUUUUUUAAGUCUGAUGUGAAAGCCCACGGCUCAACCGUGGAGGGUCAUUGGAAACUGUAAAACUUGAGUGCAGAAGAGGAAAGUGGAAUUCNNUGUGUAGCGGUGAAAUGCGCAGAGAUAUGGAGGAACACCAGUGGCGAAGGCGACUUUCUGGUCUGUAACUGACGCUGAUGUGCGAAAGCGUGGGGAUCAAACAGGAUUAGAUACCCUGGUAGUCCACGCCGUAAACGAUGAGUGCUAAGUGUUAGGGGGUUUCCGCCCCUUAGUGCUGCAGCUAACGCAUUAAGCACUCCGCCUGGGGGAGUACGACCGCAAG